rnacentral:rRNA from 1 species
UUAGAGUUUGAUCCUGGCUCAGAAUGAACGCUGGCGGCGUGCCUAACACAUGCAAGUCGAACGAGAAAGCCAGCAAUGGUGAGUACAGUGGCGCACGGGUGAGUAAUACAUAGGAAUCUGCCUCUGAGUGGAGAAUACCCUAGAGAAAUUUAGGUUAAUACUGCAUAAGCCCGCAAGGGGAAAGGUGGCCUCAAGCUGCCGCUGAGAGAUGAGCCUAUGGCCUAUUAGCUAGUUGGAGAGGUAAAAGCUCACCAAGGCGAAGAUGGGUAGCCGGCCUGAGAGGGUGUACGGCCACACUGGAACUGAGACACGGUCCAGACUCCUACGGGAGGCAGCAGUGGGGAAUCUUGCACAAUGGGCGAAAGCCUGAUGCAGCGACGCCGCGUGGAGGAUGACGGUCUUCGGAUUGUAAACUCCUGUUAAGUGGGAAGAAAGAUCCAUACCUAAUACGUAUGGAGGAUGACGGUACCACUAGAGAAAGCACCGGCAAACUUCGUGCCAGCAGCCGCGGUAAUACGAAGGGUGCUAGCGUUAUUCGGAUUAACUGGGCGUAAAGAGCGUGUCGGCGGUCUUUUAAGUCAACUGUAAAAGAGCUCGGCUUAACCGAGUAAAUGCGGGUGAUACUGGAAGACUAGAGUACUGGAGAGAAAGGUAGAAUUCUCGGAGUAGCGGUAAAAUGCGUAGAUCUCGAGAGGAAUACCGGUUGCGAAGGCGGCCUUUUGGUCAGUAACUGACGCUUAAGCGCGAAAGCGUGGGGAGCAAACAGGAUUAGAUACCCUGGUAGUCCACGCCGUAAACGAUGAUCACUAGAUGUGGGUCGUGCAUAGCAUGAUCUGUGUCGUAGCUAACGCGUUAAGUGAUCCGCCUGGGAAUUACGGUCGCAAGAUUAAAACUCAAAGGAAUUGACGGGGGUCCGCACAAGCGGUGGAACAUGUGGUUUAAUUCGACACUACGCGAGAAACCUUACCUAGGCUUGACAUGUAACUGCUACUGAUAGAAAUAUUGGGUUCUGUAGCAAUACAGACGGUUACACAGGUGCUGCAUGGCUGUCGUCAGCUCGUGUCGUGAGACGUCGGGUUAAGUCCUUGAACGAGCGCAACCCUUGCCGUUAGUUGCCUGUCGUAAGGCGGCACUCUAGCGGGACUGCCGUGGAAACACGGAGGAAGGUGGGGAUGACGUCAAGUCCUCAUGGCCCUUAUGCCUAGGGCUACACACGUGUUACAAUGGCGAGCAACAAAAGGAUGCAAUACCGCGAGGUGGAGCAAAUCCCUAAAACUCGUCUAAGUUCGGAUUGUAGUCUGCAACCCGACUACAUGAAGCUGAAAUCGCUAGUAAUCGCAUAUCAUAACGAUGCGGUGAAUACGUUCUCGGACCUUGUACACACCGCCCGUCACACCAUGAGAGCCGUCGGCACCCGAAAUCAUUUUAGCUAACUGAGCAAUCAGGGGCGGAUGAUGAAGGUGAAGGGGGUGAUUGGGGUGAAGUCGUAACAAGGUAGCCGUA